GUAGGGAAUAUUGGACAAUGGGCGAAAGCCUGAUCCAGCAAUGCCGCGUGAGUGAUGAAGGCCUUAGGGUUGUAGAGCUCUUUUACCAGGGAUGAUAAUGACAGUACCUGGAGAAUAAGCUCCGGCUAACUCCGUGCCAGCAGCCGCGGUAAUACGGAGGGAGCUAGCGUUGUUCGGAAUUACUGGGCGUAAAGCGCGCGUAGGCGGCGAUUUAAGUCAGAGGUGAAAGCCCGGGGCUCAACCCCGGAAUAGCCUUUGAGACUGGAUUGCUAGAAUCCUGGAGAGGUGAGUGGAAUUCCGAGUGUAGAGGUGAAAUUCGUAGAUAUUCGGAAGAACACCAGUGGCGAAGGCGGCUCACUGGACAGGUAUUGACGCUGAGGUGCGAAAGCGUGGGGAGCAAACAGGAUUAGAAACCCUUGUAGUCC
rnacentral:rRNA from 1 species